rnacentral:rRNA from 1 species
AGAGUUUGAUCCUGGCUCAGAAUCAACGCUGGCGGCGCGCCUAACACAUGCAAGUCGAACGAGAAAGUGGAGCAAUCCAUGAGUACAGUGGCGUACGGGUGAGUAACACGUGGGUAAUCUACCUUUUAGUGAGGAAUAACCGAGGGAAACUUUGGCUAAUACCGCAUAAGCCUGAGAAGGGAAAGCAGAAAUGCGCUGAAAGAGGAGCCCGCGGCCGAUUAGCUAGUUGGUAGGGUAAGAGCCUACCAAGGCAGAGAUCGGUAGCCGGCCUGAGAGGGCACACGGCCACACUGGCACUGAAACACGGGCCAGACUCCUACGGGAGGCAGCAGUGGGGAAUCUUGCACAAUGGAGGAAACUCUGAUGCAGCGACGCCGCGUGAGCGAUGAAGCCCUUCGGGGUGUAAAGCUCUUUCGACGGGAACGAUAAUGACGGUACCCGAAGAAGAAGCUGCGGCUAACUACGUGCCAGCAGCCGCGGUAAUACGUAGGCAGCAAGCGUUGUUCGGAAUUACUGGGCGUAAAGAGUGUGUAGGCGGUGUUGCAAGUCUGUCGUGAAAUCUCCCGGCUUAACUGGGAGGGUGCGGCGGAUACUGCGAUGCUAGAGGGUGGGAGAGGUAAGCGGAAUUCCUGGUGUAGCGGUGAAAUGCGUAGAUAUCAGGAGGAACACCUGUGGUGUAGACAGCUUACUGGACCACUUCUGACGCUGAGACACGAAAGCGUGGGUAGCAAACAGGAUUAGAUACCCUAGUAGUCC